GGUGCACACUGUUUAAAGCCCAUCACCAACGUUGGUGCCUGGGUGUCGGAGGUGUGCUAAAGUGAACUGGCUGGGUUUUCGCUAACACCAUGAGGACUUCCUGUCCCAUGACUGGGGUUUGAUAGUGACCGGAGCCACAUUU
ensembl:snoRNA SNORA62 Small nucleolar RNA SNORA62/SNORA6 family